rnacentral:rRNA from 1 species
CUACGGGCCGCUCCAGUGGGGAAUAUUGGACAAUGGGGGCAACCCUGAUCCAGCCAUGCCGCGUGUGUGAAGAAGGCCUUUUGGUUGUAAAGCACUUUAAGCAGGGAGGAGAGGCUAAUGGUUAAUACCCAUUAGAUUAGACGUUACCUGCAGAAUAAGCACCGGCUAACUCUGUGCCAGCAGCCGCGGUAAUACAGAGGGUGCGAGCGUUAAUCGGAAUUACUGGGCGUAAAGCGAGUGUAGGUGGCUCAUUAAGUCACAUGUGAAAUCCCCGGGCUUAACCUGGGAACUGCAUGUGAUGCUGGUGGUGCUAGAAUAUGUGAGAGGGAAGUAGAAUUCCAGGUGUAGCGGUGAAAUGCGUAGAGAUCUGGAGGAAUACCGAUGGCGAAGGCAGCUUCCUGGCAUAAUAUUGACACUGAGAUUCGAAAGCGUGGGUAGCAAACAGGAUUAGAUACCCGCGUAGUC